CUCACCAGUUUCCGUAGUCACAGGAUCGCCACACCAGGGAGAAGAGGUCGCCGCCGAGAUGCCUGAUGAAGGAUUGAAACACGUGUCGAAGUGGUGGUGGGGUGAAUCAGUUACCUCUCAAGAUGUCCCAGAUAGUUCCCAGGCUCAUUUGUAUUGGAGCUCCGCACUGAGAUCCUGCUAAUAAACUGACACCAGACAAGCCUCAUUAAAGAUGGAUGGAGAAUAAUUAACUCUUAAUUAUUCAGAUGACUUCAAGGCAACUUAAGGAUUCAGAGAAGAAAGUCAUUUUCACCCAGCAAAGCAGUCUCCUAUCAUUUAUCAAAUCUUACAACUUGACCACGGAUGAAUAAAAGGAAAG